UAGAGCGGCGGACGGGUGAGUAACACGUGGACAAUCUCGCCCCCCGGCCCGGGAUAGCCCAGGGAAACCGUGGAUUAAUACCGGAUGAGACGGGACCCGCGAUGGCGGGACCCGGGAAGGCGCUGCGGCGCCGCCGGGGGAUGAGUCUGCGUCCCAUUAGCUAGACGGCGGGGUAACGGCCCACCGUGGCGACGAUGGGUAGCCGGCCUGAGAGGGUGGACGGCCACAUUGGAACUGAGACACGGUCCAGACUCCUACGGGAGGCAGCAGCUAAGAAUCUUCCGCAAUGGGCGAAAGCCUGACGGAGCGACGCCCGCGUGAACGAAGAAGGCCGUGAGGUUGUAAAGUUCUUUUCGGGAGGGGGAACAACCGUGGCAGGGAAUGGCCGCGGGAUGACGUGAAUCCCGGAAUAAGCCCCCGGCUAACUACGUGCCAGCAGCCGC
rnacentral:rRNA from 1 species